UACGAAGGGGGCUAGCGUUGCUCGGAAUCACUGGGCGUAAAGGGUGCGUAGGCGGGUCUUUAAGUCAGGGGUGAAAUCCUGGAGCUCAACUCCAGAACUGCCUUUGAUACUGAAGAUCUUGAGUCCGGGAGAGGUGAGUGGAACUGCGAGUGUAGAGGUGAAAUUCGUAGAUAUUCGCAAGAACACCAGUGGCGAAGGCGGCUAACUGGUCCAGAUCUGACGCUGAGGUGCGAAAGCGUGGGGAGCAAACAGG
rnacentral:rRNA from 1 species